rnacentral:rRNA from 1 species
GAAUAUUGCCCAAUGGGCGAAAGCCUGAUGCAGCGACGCCGCGUGGGGGAUGAAGGCCUUCGGGUUGUAAACUCCUUUCGCCAGGGACGAAGCGUUAUAGUGCCGGUACCAGGAGACAAAGCACCCGCGAACUCAGUGGCAGCAGCCGCGGUAAUACGGAGGGGGCGAGCGUUGUCCGGAAUUACUGGGCGUAAAGUGCUCGUAGGUGGUUCGUCACGUCGUCAGUGAAAUCCCGGGGCUUAACCUCGGGCGUGCAGGCGAUACGGGCAUAACUUGAGUGCUGGAGGGGAGACUGGAAUUCCUGGUGUAGCGGUGAAAUGCGCAGAUAUCAGGAGGAACACCAAUGGCGAAGGCAGGUCUCUGGGCAGUAACUGACGCUGAGGAGCGAAAGCAUGGGUAGCGAACA